GAAAUUGAAACCCCCUGGAUUGGGUGUUUAAUUGUUAACUAAAUUUUUACGGGACCCAAGCCCCUCCGUCUAA
rnacentral:tRNA from 1 species